CCUCUGCCUCCCAGCCCUCGGGCUCGGACACAUCCACGCCGCAGGGAGGGCCCUGGGGACACUUUCCGGUGCCGUCCCCAAAAUGACUGACCGUGCCACGUGCCCUGCCCACCAGGUUCACACGAGACAGCCAGGCAUGCAAAGGCAGGGGGCUGUAUGAUCUGGCAUCUCUUUCGGCCGUUAGCGGAGGCGCGUCCUUCCCGGGCAUCGGCUCCCUAAUUAGUUCUAUUGGUUUCAACAGUUCGGCGGACUCGGUGAAUGUAAUAUUUAACACCCUAGAGGGAAGCCUUUCACGCCGAUGCCUCUUUCAUCAUCUCUGCCCAUCUGGUGCUCACUUUAAGCUCGCGGAGCACCACCUGCUUGGAAAACAAUGAACCUGUGCAGGUCCCCGGUCCUGCAGAGCCGCUGGACCCCACGGGGAAGGCGCGGGGGGCACCAGCAGCACCCGCACCAUCCCUCUGCCUGGCUGCAUGCCCCGAUGUCCCCUCCUUCGAGCAGUCGUUGUCACUGCACGGCCACCCCAUGAUCUGCUGAGGACUGGUCCUGAGAAGUGUGAUGGUUGCUGAUGCACAGGGAGCGAGGUGCUGAUUCCCAGAAAGAAUUACUCUGGAGGAUGUCGUGAAAUGCCCGCUGUGCGCACAGGGGUGGUGCAAACGGGGAUGUGGGUAGGGAAAUGCUCCCUCAGCCCAACACUAUGCUCUCAUCAUCACCACCUUGCUCAGAUUAAGCAGGGAUGAAGGACGGCACACCAACAACAGCGGUGGUGCAACUCCACAAUGACAAAGAGAGGAGCAAUGGGUCCUGUGCACGAGUUGGGGUGCCAGCAGGAGCGCCGUCACAGGCCAGGACCCCUGCACCCAGUGACCCCAUGUGGCCACACACAUCUCCCCACUGGGUCUGCACGGACACGGCAACCAGGCCGACAGAAACCAUUUGCUUGCUGCAGCCACAGCACCGCAGCUGAUGUUGGGAGACACGGGCAGGAGGACGCGUCUGGAAAUGAUUAGAUUGCUUCCAGUGACUGACACCUGCUAAUAACCUGGAAGAUGGGUAGAGGAUACUUACAUUGUCAUCUCCCGCUAUCUACAACUUCAUUUUCCAUCAUCUUUGGCACUCAAGGACAGCAGCAAAGGAUAUUAUUGCUGCCGUUAUUGUUAGUGUUAUUAUUUAAGCCACGCAGCCACAAAUCUGCAGGUACCUGGGCUGGGCUGGGCGGACAGAUUACCCCACGAGAUUCUCCUUCAGAUCAGAGGGGAAUUUAUUGCAAGGAUUAUGUACAACGUAUUUCUCUAUUAAGUUAAAAUAAGAUUCCCCUUAAAGGUUCAGCACGUUAAGCAACAGCUGGAAGGACGGGGGCUUUAACCUCACGCUCAGCCACAGAGCCAGGCGUGGAGGGAAGAUGGAUGGAGGCGCACUCCGAGGGAAAGAGAAUAAUAUCCCCCGUUUGCAAUGCUGAACUGCAUCUUGGGCCUCCUGCCUACCCGCACAAAGCCUAUUAGCUUCAUCGGGGCUGAAAGAAUUAAAUAAAUAAAUUCGCCAGCACACAACAGUGCCUAGGGCAGGGAAGUUAAAGGACAUUAUAACUCUUUAAUUACAUCAGUCUUGGAGAGAAAAGAGCUGUCGUUCCCUCCUUCUUCCCUCCGGGGAACUCCUGGUAUCUACCUCGGCCAGAACCCCCUUAGGAAAGUUGUCGCAACGUAUGUCUUCCCCGUGCUUCAUGCCAGGGACGGCUUUAGCCCGGUAUUAAUAUUCCCCACCCACUAUUUACCGCGCUUGCAUACACACACGGAGACACACAAACACGCCUUUCAUCUCCUGCCUUGAAAGGAGGAGAGAAAAAAAAAAUAAAAAACCACCUUAGUUAAGCUUUCGAGAUAAGAGAGUCAUGUACGAGUCCGGGCUUUAGGCUGCCAAGGGAGGAUUUCCCUCUGAGAGCACCUGAAGGCCGCUUGCAACGUGGGAUUGCAAAGAAAUCACGAGCACGAGGGGAGGACGUGGCUGAGCCAUCCUCCCCCUCCCCAAUUCCUCCUCUGCUCAGCCCCUCGCUUACCGCGGUGCCGCACGGAGCCAUCAAAGAGCAUCCCGAGAGCGCCGCGUGCUUCCUCAAAUAAGCAUGUUUUUAAAUAAAUAUCUCCCUGACAAAAACGUCCUUUGUAGGAAUGAAAAUGGUUGUCAGAAACCUAUCAGCCACCUCCUAAAAGAUCCCAUUAUGCUGCUGUAUUGAACUCCUUUUUUUUUUUUUUUACCAAGAAAGUUAUUGAAAUAGUGACGGAAACAGCCAAUAGCACUUUCAAUUAAAAAUGUAUCACAGUGUUUUGUGAUUUAAAAGCAAACAAACAAGAAAGGCCCAUGAAAUGUUAAUGCCCACGUGAGCGGGUUUGAUUGCUGGUCGUUGUCUGUUUGUCAGACAUUUCCAACUAUCAAUUAAUUAUCAAAACCGGGCCGGGAGGCUGGAGCCUGAUGCAGGUGCCUGGCGACGCAGAGCCCCUUGCCCAGCAGAAAGCUGGGCACGGUGAGGGGUGAGGAAUUCAGACCUCAGAGCGUGGCCACCGCUGUCCAUCACAAUUUCGGCACCGAGCACCAGGUCACAGCAGGGUUCCUGCAAGGUCUCAUCCUUCCGCCCCUCUGCACCAGCACCAGGAGGGGCUGCGCCCUGCUCGCCUUGGAGCCAAGGCUCUGUGAUGUCAGGAAACGGGCAGCCACGUCACAAAACCCCAAAAAUCUUUUCCAGCAGCCUCCGGCAUUGCACAGGGCGAUGCCGGAGGUGGGGCAGCUCCCCAAAGGGCUCUGAAAGUGGACAGCAACAGGGGGAGGCUCAGCCCCGCAGCAGCCGCUCCUGCAGCGCUUUGCAGAGCCCUUGCAAGCAGCAGCUUUUAUUCCAGAAGAGAGGAGAAAAAAAUAAAAAAUAAAACGGGAAACCCUCUGAGCUGUGGCUGGUAGAUAAGGAGAUAUGGCAGAGUCGGGAGGCAAUGGCCCAAGGGGCCCAUUAACAAGAUUCCUCCCACACAACCUGCACGAGCCCAGCCCAUCAAUAAAGGCUGCUCUCCUCCCCAGCCAGCCUUGCGUGGCUCCCAACUUUCCGGCUACGGGCUGCAGAUUGGAUUCUUCCGUCAUCACCACAAAAACAGAUGAAUCGGCCACGGCUGAGGGACCUGUGAUAAGCCAGGACCCUUUAGGCACGGAGGCGCACUCCGUAAAACCGCCGCUGCCUUUCAGCACAGCCGGGUCCCGCGGCACCGGGGUGGGCGCCCCGCAAACUGCCCCUGCUCUCUGCCGCUGGAGCCCGGAGCCAUUUCGGCGCCGGCUUUUCUACUUCUGCAACAGGCAACUGGUCCUGCACGGGCUGGAAAUGGUGCAGGACCCUGCCCAGGUCGUGGUGGCUUUGGUCUGUAAAGCUGGAGCUGCUCGCGGCCCCACGGCAAUGAUGGGGCAUCGCCACCCAACCAAGCUCUGACUUCUCCCCGGCCCGGGGUGACGGCAACCAGCACUUGGAGGAAGAAGAGGAGGCGGGGAGGAGAAGAAAAGGAAAGCAAAGCCAAGCAGCAGCCACCUGGUUUUCGCUCACCACCCCGCCAGCGAGCGGCACGGCCCCGCUCCAGCACACCGCCAGCACCAUGCACCCAAGAGGGAACGGCGGCGAGAGGCGGGGAUGCUCCUGGCACCACGACCUUGCUCUUCACUGCUUCAAAGCCCCAUCUUCACUCGCGAGAGCAGGGAAGAAUCAGCGGACCCUCUUUACCUCCCCUUGCCUCCUAAUCCCCAGCUCUCAGGCAGCCCCAGGCAAGGAAAGAAAGCUCCGUGCUGCCGCCGAAGCCCCAGCGCUGCACAAAGCCCGGUGCCGCGCUCCGCGCCGCGGUGCCCCGCUGAGCUAAUGGCCGGGCUGGCGUUAGCGCACAGCUAAAGAGCUGCACGCGUGCCACUGAUUACUGGUAUGGGUCUCCGAGGCCAAAGAAGAAAAGAAAUCCAGUGUAAGAUUGCAAACAAUUACUCCUCUUAGAUAAUCACUGUUUUACAGGCCAGACGUGCGCAUAAAUAUUGCAUAAUGCCGGGGCUCAGCACGUAAUUGUCAGAUAUUAUUCAAACCAAGUCGCCGCUGUAUUGGCAAGAGCUGUGUGCUUGUCACAGCUCGGGGUCAGCCACUGGAUGGAUGAAGGAUUUUGAGGGAAAGCUCAGGGAAGGCAAGAAGCAGACCAGCCGACUUCUGCAGAAGCAGACCAGCGCUGACUUCUGCAAAGCGAUCGCGCGUUCAGCGCAGCGCCGAGUAAAUGGCCCAAGCCGUGACGCUGCAAACCCGCCACAGCUAGCAAAACAGGAAAAAUGUGGCUGUAUGUGAAUGUCGGGGUGUCCCAUCACAAUGAAGAGGGUCCUGCCCAGUGUUGUGCUUUGGGGCUCUUUGCAGACCCAGGAUCUUGCUCUCCCAAAGCUUCUUUUCUAGAGAACUGCCUGCGAAGCGAAGGAGGGAGCAAGGAAAUGAUGACCCCAGCAGCGAAACCGAAGCAGACUUCGGGACAGCGAAGCAGCUGCCUUGACCUUCCCCUGGGAGCUGCAGCGUGUCUUCCUCGACCUUCCUCACCUCAAAGAUGCCUCCAGAGGCAGGAGGAUGCAGGUCUGUGCCGAGCAGCAUCGGCGUGCUGCUUUGCACAGCUCUGCGCAAAGGAACGGGCAGGGCACGGCCGGAUCCCUGGGGCUGUAUUUGUGAGCAAAACCCUCACGGCGCGGAUGUGAGGCGCUUUACAGGUGCACAAGCACAAGGAAAAAGGCGCUGGGCAGCUGCACAGCCUGCUUGCUGCAGCCCGCGGGGCAGAUGUCCCUGCACGAGCUCUUUGCUGGUGGCACCAGGGGCCGGGAGGAGGCAGCGCUCCAGCCACGGCCACCGCACGCGGCACUUUGGACAAGGCUCCUUCCCUUUCCUCCUCUGAAGCUGUUUUGUUGCAAACCAUCUGCUCAGCACCCCACCGUGCACGGCAGCGGCGAGGGGGGCCCAGAUGGACGGCUUCUUUGAUAAUUCUUUAAAACGAGGCACCCAAGCACAACGCUGCCAUAUGCCGAAGGGCCGGCCAGCUCGCCGAGCUGUUCCACGACCCUCCUUCCUUGGCGCGGCCGCGGGCAGCAUCCCACGCGGACUGCAGCGCUCCUCACCUGCCGAGAGCCUGCAAACGCCUCCAGGAGCUGCCCUGUCUCUGCCUAAAACCCAACAACCAGAAGGAGAUGUGAGAUCCUGGGCAGUCUCCGGCUUGCACACCGCGUCCUGAUCUCCCAGGUGCUCGGGGGCAGGUGUCACGCUGCUCUUGAGCUGCCAGAUAUGAGCUAAAACAAGGAGGGCAGGGAGAGGAGGAUGCUCCCGCUGCAGGGUUAGGUUUGGGCCCCGCUCACGCCCACUUUCAGCACAGACACCUGGACGAUUACCCUGCACAACAACCGGGACUUGGCUCCGAGCAUCUCACGAACGACCUUGGUGGCACAGAAGCCAGCUGCUUUCGGGAAAUAAACCCCGCCGGCACAACCUGCCUGGAAGCGCAGGUUGUUCAUUACGAAAGCUCAGCAUCACCUCCAGAGGGUCCUCCGUCCCUCCAUCCCUUCUGCAACUCGUGCUGCAUUCAGGGCAGCUCGGUGCCAGGCAUGAUCCCCCAUCAGGAUGUUUGAGCGUCUUCUGAGCCAAGCCCCUUUGUCCCAGCCCCAUCACGACACCCACUCCUCAGCACGAGCCACCUCGUUACAUCCUGAUGAUGCUCACAACGCUGCCCGAAAGGGGGAACUGCACCGUGGUCAGUGCCCAGGUGCCUCCCAAACCCUGCCACGCAGGGCUCAGCGCACCCACAACCCCUCCAGGUACCUCAGCUGCUCUCCCCCUUUGCCCUCUGGCACCCCGACACCCCCGUGAGGCCCCUUGCUUAUUACAAGCAGAACACAGCCCGGGAUUCCUGAGCAAUCACCAGCUCGCGGGGACUGGGGCUUUAAGGAAAAAACACCUUGCAAAACCCACACCGCAAUCAGAUGGAUUUCGAUAGAAGCUGCAGUGAAGGAUGGCUCUGUGGGAUUUCAGAUAAAUAAAGCCACAAAGGCCGGUGAGAUUGGACUGA